UUAAACGUCGAAAGCGCGUUCAAUGUACCGGUUCUCAUCCGAUCACCGAAGUUAAGUAACGUCGGGAGCGGUCACUACUUGGAUGAGUGACCGCCUGGGAACACCGCGUGACGUUGGCU
rnacentral:rRNA from 1 species